UAAUUGAAGAGUUUGAUCAUGGCUCAGAUUGAACGCUGGCGGCAGGCCUAACACAUGCAAGUCGAGCGGCAGCGGGAAGAUAGCUUGCUAUCUUUGCCGGCGAGCGGCGGACGGGUGAGUAAUGCCUAGGGAUCUGCCCAGUCGAGGGGGAUAACAGUUGGAAACGACUGCUAAUACCGCAUACGCCCUACGGGGGAAAGGAGGGGACCUUCGGGCCUUCCGCGAUUGGAUGAACCUAGGUGGGAUUAGCUAGUUGGUGAGGUAAUGGCUCACCAAGGCGACGAUCCCUAGCUGUUCUGAGAGGAUGAUCAGCCACACUGGGACUGAGACACGGCCCAGACUCCUACGGGAGGCAGCAGUGGGGAAUAUUGCACAAUGGGCGAAAGCCUGAUGCAGCCAUGCCGCGUGUGUGAAGAAGGCCUUCGGGUUGUAAAGCACUUUCAGUAGGGAGGAAAGGUAGUAACUUAAUACGUUAUUGCUGUGACGUUACCUACAGAAGAAGGACCGGCUAACUCCGUGCCAGCAGCCGCGGUAAUACGGAGGGUCCGAGCGUU
rnacentral:rRNA from 1 species